rnacentral:rRNA from 1 species
UACAGAGGUCUCAAGCGUUGUUCGGAUUCAUUGGGCGUAAAGGGUGUGUAGGUGGCGCGCUAAGUCGGGUGUGAAAUUUCGGAGCUUAACUCCGAAACUGCAUUCGAUACUGGCGUGCUUGAGGACUGGAGAGGAGACUGGAAUUUACGGUGUAGCGGUGAAAUGCGUAGAUAUCGUAAGGAAGACCAGUGGCGAAGGCGGGUCUCUGGACAGUUCCUGACGCUGAGGCACGAAGGCCCAGGGGAGCAAACGGG